AGAUUGAACGCUGGCGGCAUGCCUUACACAUGCAAGUCGAACGGCAGCAUGAUCUAGCUUGCUAGAUUGAUGGCGAGUGGCGAACGGGUGAGUAAUACAUCGGAACGUGCCCUGUAGUGGGGGAUAACUAGUCGAAAGAUUAGCUAAUACCGCAUACGACCUGAGGGUGAAAGUGGGGACCGCAAGGCCUCAUGCUAUAGGAGCGGCCGAUGUCUGAUUAGCUAGUUGGUGGGUAAACGCCACCAAGGCGACGAUCAGUAGCUGGUCUGAGAGGACGAUCAGCCACACGUGGGACUGACGACACGGCCCAGACUCCGUAGGGAGCAGCAGGUGGGUAAUUUGGACAAGUGGGACGAAAGCCUAGACUCCAGACAAUGCCGCGUGUCGUAGAAGACGGUCCGUUACGGUUAGUAAAGUCUACGUUUCGUACGGUAAAGAAGUAG
rnacentral:rRNA from 1 species